rnacentral:rRNA from 1 species
UACACUCCUGCGGGAGGCAGCAGUGGGGAAUAUUGCACAAUGGGCGCAAGCCUGAUGCAGCCAUGCCGCGUGUAUGAAGAAGGCCUUCGGGUUGUAAAGUACUUUCAGCGGGGAGGAAGGCGAUAAGGUUAAUAACCUUGUCGAUUGACGUUACCCGCAGAAGAAGCACCGGCUAACUCCGUGCCAGCAGCCGCGGUAAUACGGAGGGUGCAAGCGUUAAUCGGAAUUACUGGGCGUAAAGCGCACGCAGGCGGUCUGUCAAGUCGGAUGUGAAAUCCCCGGGCUCAACCUGGGAACUGCAUUCGAAACUGGCAGGCUAGAGUCUUGUAGAGGGGGGUAGAAUUCCAGGUGUAGCGGUGAAAUGCGUAGAGAUCUGGAGGAAUACCGGUGGCGAAGGCGGCCCCCUGGACAAAGACUGACGCUCAGGUGCGAAAGCGUGGGGAGCAAACAGGAUUAGAAACCCGAGUAGUCCC